GACGAACGCUGGCAGCGUGCUUAACACAUGCAAGUCGAACGAGAACGGGUUAUAGCUUGCUAUAGUUGUCAGCUAAGUGGCGCACGGGUGAGUAAUGUAUAGGUAAUAUGCCUCUUACUAAGGGAUAACAAAUGGAAACGUUUGCUAAUACCUUAUACUCCUUAUUAACAGAAGUUAAUAAGGGAAAGAUUUAUUGGUAAGAGAUUAGCCUGUAUUGUAUCAGUUAGUUGGUGGGGUAAUGGCUUACCAAGACUAUGUCACAUAACUGGUUUGAGAGGAUGAUCAGUCACACUGGAACUGAGACACGGUCCAGACUCCUACGGGAGGCAGCAGUGGGGAAUAUUGCACAAUGGACGAAAGUCUGAUGCAGCAACGCCGCGUGGAGGAUGACACAUUUCGGUGCGUAAACUCCUUUUAUAUAAGAAGAUAAUGACGGUAUUAUAUGAAUAAGCACCGGCUAACUCCGUGCCAGCCGCCGCGGUAA
rnacentral:rRNA from 1 species